UUUGCUUGAUGAUGACUCUGGUCUCUUAUUUCUCCCUGGUGGCAUUAUUUGUUUCCCUGGGGCCCUUGCUCUAAGGUGGAGGGUGUAUGGUUUUGUCAAGAGCGAGCCCCUGGCACAGCAGACCCCAAGCAAGGAGGGGCCCCAGGCAGGGAACAGCCCACCACCUCCCCUUGUCCACCUUCUCUCCCCUUGUCCCCAAACUCUGCUGUAGCUGAAAAGGCUGCGCCGGCCAGGAAGAGCAGCAGCCUGGAAGCCGAGCUGCCCCACAGCCAGAGAAGAGAGAGGAAAGCAGAGAAGCUGCUCCAUGGGCCUGAGAGGACAUGGAGACAGCACGCUCCCAGGGAACAAAGGGAAUGCACACUUGCACCGGCUUGCACAUGGAGGAUCUGCACUAGAAGCAAGAUACCUACGACUAAAGCUGGGAGACAUUUCUGUAAUCAUCUUGCCUGUGGAAGUUGGACAGUUCCUUGGCAGACGAGGGAGGUUCACCUACAAAGGACGUAUGAGAACCUUUAGGGAAAAGAUACCUCCAAAGCAAUUAUGGAUUUGAGAGGAGAAGGAUCUGCCAAUGAUUGCCGGAGCUGAGCAUGUGGCGAGUGCCAAGCCCAAGUGUCCAGUGAAGCUGAAUUCUUAUGUAAAGAUCAGAAGUUGCUGGUGUGCAGCAGGACUUGCCUUGGUUUCCCAAACUCACAGAAAAGCUGCUUCAGAGAAAGCCCUUGCCCCUGAAGCACGAGAAGACAGCUCUCCACUAAAACUUCUACUUUGGGCCCAAGACUUAGAAGAAACCCAUUAGAUCAUCAAGGUCCUGUUGACUGAGAAGCGUCGAUCAGAGCACAUCCUCACCUGGAUGUUCCCGUGUGAGACGUGAAGCUGCCAGCAGACAGAAGACAUAGAGGCUGGAGCCAGGGGUUAUCAUCGAGGGCAUGUGGGGCCCCAAGCAUAAAACCAAGCGGAAAUUUCGCUGUUGAAUAACCUGGUUUUUCUGUAGGAUGGGGCCCAGACUACUGUGUUUAUCAACUUGUGGCCUCCAGCUUCUGGAAGCUCAUGUCCUCAUGUUGGAAACAAAGACAGAGCAGACAAGCUGUCUGCAUGUUGCCAGGCACUUCUGACGAAUUUUUUUUUAAUUAUUUAUUUAUUUUUAGAGAGAGAGAGAGAGAGCCUGCACGAGGAGGGGGCGGGCAGAGGGAGAGGGAGAGAGAAUCUCAAGCAGACUCCAAGCUGAGCUCAGGGCCCGACACGGGGCUCAAUCCCAGGACCCUGAGAUCAUGACCUGAGCUAAAACCACAAGUCAGAUGCUCAACCAACCGAGCCACCCAGGUGCCCCAGGAAUUUUUGUUUCAAGUGUCCUAUAUCAUGACCUAACGGGCGAGCUCCAGCUGAGGGUGGGCUGCCAACACAGGAGUCUCAGCCUUCUGGAAGACAGGAAAAAGAAGAAAAUGAUCCAAGGCCA
rnacentral:lncRNA from 12 species